rnacentral:rRNA from 1 species
CAACACCGCGUGAGGGAAGACGGCCUUCGGUGUAAACCUCUUCAGGAGGGACGAAGGCCGGCCGGUAACAGCCGCGCCGGCUGACGGUACCUCCAGAAGAAGCUCCGGCUAACUACGUGCCAGCAGCCGCGGUAAUACGUAGGGAGCAAACGUUGUCCGGAAUCAUUGGGCGUAAAGCGCGCGUAGGCGGCCCGAUAAGUCCGCUGUAAAAGUCAACGGCUCAACUGUUGAAAGCCGGUGGAUACUGUCGGGCUAGAGUACGGAAGAGGCAAGUGGAAUUCCUGGUGUAGCGGUGGAAUGCGCAGAUAUCAGGAGGAACACCCAUAGCGAAGGCAGCUUGCUGGGACGUUACUGACGCUAAGGCGCGAAAGCGUGGGGAGCGAACAGGAUUAGAUACCCUGGUAGUCCACGCCGUAAACGAUGAGAACUAGGUGUGGGAGGUGUCGACUCCUCCCGUGCCGUCGCUAACGCAUUAAGUUCUCCGCCUGGGGAGUACGGCCGCAAGGCUA